rnacentral:rRNA from 1 species
UACGAAGGGGGCUAGCGUUGCUCGGAAUCACUGGGCGUAAAGGGUGCGUAGGCGGGUCUUUAAGUCAGGGGUGAAAUCCUGGAGCUCAACUCCAGAACUGCCUUUGAUACUGAGGAUCUUGAGUACGGGAGAGGUGAGUGGAACUGCGAGUGUAGAGGUGAAAUUCGUAGAUAUUCGCAAGAACACCAGUGGCGAAGGCGGCUCACUGGCCCGUAACUGACGCUGAGGCACGAA